UACGUAGGGUGCGAGCGUUGUCCGGAAUUACUGGGCGUAAAGAGCUCGUAGGUGGUUUGUCGCGUUGUUCGUGAAAACUCACAGCUUAACUGUGGGCGUGCGGGCGAUACGGGCAGACUGGAGUACUGCAGGGGAGACUGGAAGUUCCUGGUGUAGCGGUGGAAUGCGCAGAUAUCAGGAGGAACACCGGUGGCGAAGGCGGCUCCUCUGGACCGAGACUGACGCUGAGGCGCGAAAGCGUGGGGAGCAAACAGG
rnacentral:rRNA from 1 species